GAUGCGCCAACGCAGACUAAGAACGCCACGUCCUGUGGCAACGCCUGCAUGACCUCCAUCCUGGGGG
rnacentral:sRNA from 1 species